rnacentral:lncRNA from 1 species
UUAUAUAUUUACUGCAAAUACAAUACAAUGUUAUUUUUUAUCAAAAUAAAUAAAUACAAUGUUAUUUAUUUAUUUAUCAUUAAUCCUUAUAUGGUCACUUUCAUUGGAGCAGCAAGAAUCCGUUUCGCUGCAGGAGCAGUUACAAUCCUUAUUGAGGGAGAACCAGAUUCUGAAAAGGGCCGUUGCAAUCCAACACGAGCGUAGUGUCGAAUAUGAGGAGAAAUUGAAAGAAGCAGAUCAGUUGAAACAUAUGAUUGGACAAUACCAACAACAAGUACAGACGUUGGAAGUAAGCAUACCAUAAUUUUACACUUACUUUUAUAUUAUUUUUAUUUUUAUGCUUAAUAAAUAUGGUAAUGUCAAAUACAUAUAGGUAAAAUUUGGAAAACCAGAAAAAGUAAAAAAUUAAUUGCUUAUAAAUUGUAAUUAUUUCAUGUAGUAAAGAAGCUUUCUUGCAUGUAACGUUGAUUAAUCCAAGGCAAUGCAAGAUUUUACCCUUCACGAAUUGGAGGGAUCUGUAUCAAAUCAUCCUAACUGUUUACUAAAAUUAGAAGAAACUUGAUGGAAGGGAAUUGCACAUCACAAUUUUUUUGUUCCCAUCUCAAAAUAGGGAUGUGAGAUUCCCAAUUUUAGGUUAGCAAUUGAUGUUUUUUCUUCUUAUUAGGUUUUACUACAUUUUUGCAUACAAAUUUCCUCUUUUUUUUAUGCAAUGCAUAUAACUUAAAGGAUUUUUGUAUGCAAACAUCACGAUAUCAGGGUAUUUUUGUAUGCAAAAACCAUGAUAUUUUUGACUUAAAAGAUUCUGGGCAAUAUGCAUUAAAAAUAUUUAUAAUCUAUCAAAGUUUAAACACUAGAACAUUUCUCUAAGAUUAUACAUUAUUUUCAUAAUUGACGUGUUGAUUAGGGGUGGGCAUGGGUCAGAUUUGGUUCGGGUUAGCUCUGACUCGAACCUGAGUUAUUAAUUCGGGUUCGGGUGAAAUUUUUAAAAAUAAAAAAUAAUUAAAAUAUUGCAAAAAAUCCUAUAACUUUAAUAAUCUAUAUAAUUUUGUGAAAAAAAUACCUAUAAUUUCUAUAAUCCCUUUAAAUAACCUCAAAAUAUAUAAUAAUUUUUAAAUAAAAAAAGAAAAAAAGUGAAAUAAUCCAUCUACUCAUACUUUUCAAGCAAUCAAAAAUCCAACAACAAAUAAAUUAAAUUAUAAAAUAUAAAAACUUAUAAUAUUAUUAUAAUUUACAAAGAUAUGUUAUAAACAUAGGAUAUUUUAUAAUUUUUUUUUAUAAAUUUAGUCAGGUUUGGUUCGGGUGGAAUAAUAUAUCCGUAAACGACCUCUUCGGGUUCGGGUCAAGCUUCACCCGACCCAUUCCCACCCCUAGUGUUGAUCCUUAAAUCAAUAAUAUUUCUAAUAAAUAGGAUAUAAAAUAUCCAAAAUCUAUAAAUUAAUCAUUAAAAACGUCUCAAAUAUAUUAAAUACUGAUCACUGAUCAAUCAAUAAAAAAACAAUACCCAAAUAGAAUGACUUUGACCGGAGAUGUCCAUACCAGGAUCGAGCUCGCCACCAUAUGGAGAGAGGUCCAAGGGAGAAUCAAAAUUGAAAGUUCUCCAACGGUUCAAUUUUUAAUCUAUUAGAUGGAGAUAUAGGUUAUUCCAGGUCACGAAGUCUAUUUGUGAUAGACUGAUAGUGAUCACAGACUCGCAGUAUUAUUGUUUUGAUUAUACUUUUAUAGCUUACGUGUUAAAAUAGCUUUUGUGUGGGUUUAUUAGAGCUUAUAUUUUUUACACCAUUUUCCAUAAACAGAAUUGAUGAUUUACAUUUACUGCCAAAAUAAUUGAUUUGAGUAAUAGGGUUAUGUCUAGUCAUUGAUGAAACUCUUUUUGAUUUAUGUGUUCAGCUUUCUUUAUCGAGUAUAUUAUUGGUUAGGAUUUUUUUAAUACAUUCAAAACACACCUUAAAUUUCAAGACUUAGAAGAAUGAAAUAUUAUAUUCACUUUCUUAACUCCAAUUUAUUUGUAGC